UCGUGAUGUAACCAGAUUCUUGUGGCUCAAAGAUACCUCUAAACCGGUAUCUCAAGACAACCUACUAUACCUUAGGUUUUGUAGAGUUCCAUUUGGCGUCAUUUCAUCACCGUUUUUGCUUAAUGCGACUAUUAAGCACCACCUGUCCAACGCAGAAGAUCAGCAAGUCAGACAGAAAGCAAAUGACAUAUAUGUGGAUAACUUUGUUUCGGGUACCGACACUACGGAUGAGGCGAUGAAACUCUACAAAAAUCUAAAAGGAUCUUUUCAAGACAUUUCAAUGUCACUCAGGGAUUGGAGUUCGAAUUCUAGGGAAUUUAUGAAGAAAGUCUCUGAUACAUGUAAAGAAGAUAAAGUAAAGGUACUUGGUUUGGAAUGGGACAUCAAAAAGGAUACUCUCCAGUUGAAACCUAACUUACAAGAAGAAGCUGUCACGAAAAGAGGAAUACUGAAAACUAUUGCAUCAAUCUACGAUCCAUGUGGUUAUGCAGUACCUUAUACCCUAUCAUGUAAACUCUUUUUACAAGAGCUUUGGAAAGCUGGAGUGUCAUGGGACUCACCAUUAUCAAGCGAACUAACGGAAGAAUGGAACAAGAUCCGACAGAACUUAGAAGCCAUUAGGAAGGUGUCGGUGGACAGAUGCUACAUGAAGACACCAGUGGGAAAAGGCUACCAACUACACUGUUUCACCGAUGCCUCUCUACAGGCUUAUGCAGCAUCAGUCUUUUUAGUUUGCGGCUCGGAGAAAAGCUUCAUUAUUGGUAAAUCCCGUCUGAUACCAAUAAAGGAUCAGGAGAGUCUCAAGAUACCCCGUCUUGAACUUUUAGGAGUACUGAUUGGCAGUAGACUGAUAAAGUUUGUUCUUAAGUUUCUCCAGCAGAAGAUAGUAAGGCAAGUCUUAUGGACCGACAGCCAGAUCGUCAUAGAAUGGUGCAAAUCUGACAAGCUAUUGCCACCCUUCGUUGCCAGGCGGAUAGAAGAGAUCAAAACAAAUAAAGAUCUGGAGAUCAGAUACCUUCCAUCAGACCUAAAUCCAGCUGACGUCGGCACCAGACCCACCUGUUCAAGAGAGGACAGGGAGAAAUGGCUGAGUGGUCCACAAUUUAUAGUUCAAGAUCCGAAGACGUGGCCAACAACUUCUGGCGGUGGACCAACCAGUUCUCUCUUGAUUGGGGAGGGUCUUGGGAUCCAAGAAGACGAAGAACUGAUGGAAAUAGUUGAUCCAGACAUACACAAUGUUAGUCCGAUGGAAACGGAGGAGAGUACAACUACAAAGGAAGUAGCGAGUCAAGACAAUGAUCAGAUGCCGGAUCAGUUACUAAAUUUGAAAGAAAUUCAAGCUGAAUACUUUCCUCUAGAGGUAGAAGGAAAGGUAACUAGUCUAAGUUUGAAUUUAGGCGUAUUUAAAGACAUAGAUGAGUUACUGAGGUGUAAAGGUCGUAUGAAACACGCAGACUGGUCAUUUGAUAAACGCUACCCUAUACUUAUACCGAAAGAUUCAGAUUUCACCAACGAAAUUAUAAUGAAGACUCAUCAAGAAAAUAAGCAUGUUGGAGUAAGUCACACGCUAGACAAGAUAAGGGAAACUUACUGGAUACCACAAGGAAGAAGCCAAGUUCAGAAGAUUUUGAGGAAGUGCUCCGAAUGUAUGAAGCAUGACGGAGGGCCAUAUAAACUACCGGAAACUCCUGCGUUACCAAAAGAGAGGGUCAAUUAUAGCUCUCCAUUCACAUACGUUGGUACCGACUAUCUGGGACCACUUCUAGUUAACAAUGGGAAUGGCAAUUGUAAAAGGUGGAUUAGCCUCUACACAUGCUUAGCCGUAAGAGCCAUUCACUUAGAAGUUGUAAAGGACUUAACUGCGGAAGAAGGUUUAAUGGCCUUACGUAGAAUGAUUUCAGCAAGAGGUGUACCUACCUUAAUAACGUCUGAUAAUGCGGCUCACUACAAGUUACUCUCAGAGAUUCUUCAGAACCCAUACUGCGUAGAGAAAGAGAUAAAAUGGAAAUUUAUACCACAAUUAGCACCAUGGCAUGGAGGAUUCUAUGAGAGAUUAGUUGGUUUAGUUAAAAACUGUAUGAAGAAAACAUUACAGAAACAUUUGUUGAAUGACACCCAGCUAGUAACAGCGGUGAAAGAAAUAGAAGCAGUUCUUAACACAAGACCCUUAACUUACGUAGAUUCAGAGCCGGAUCAUGUACUAAAACCUUCAGACUUUCUUACCAUGGGAAAGUGUAUCAUUAUGGAAACUUCAGAUAAGGAUCCUACAACGUCGCAAGGGACGGUGACUAAGGACCACUUAAUUAAAGGUUGGAAGAAAGCACGGAUAAUUCUACGAGAAUUUAAAGAGAUGUUUGAGAACCGGUAUCUCCUAAAUUUGAGAGAAAGAUAUUCCCACCAUCCUAAAGAACCUAGAGUAACAUCAAAGUUAGCACCUAAGAUAGGUCAAAUCGUGCAGAUUAAAGGUGACACGAAGAACAGGAUAAAUUGGAAAGUUGGGAAAAUAGUAUCUUUAAAGGAAGGCGCCGACGGUUUAUGUAGGGUCGCCAAGGUACGAGUAGGAGAUACAGAGUAUACAAGAUCUAUCGCGCAUCUCUACCCGCUAGAGAUCGAAGAUGGAGAAGAGCAGUGCAAACAAACAUCAUCUUAUGACGAAAGUGUUGAAGAACCGGUGCAGCUUCCUGAUCUUCCACGUCCAUCAGGCAAGGAUGACCAGACAGUGGAAUCCCUCAACGACGUUGCUGAGCCUUCAUCUGAGCAGAGAUUCACUCAUGAAGUUAGAGAUCAGCAAGAAGAAGUACAGCCUCAUGCCUCGCCAGUAGAGGGAAAGUGUUCCUCUAAACAAGCGGUUGAGUUUAUGUCUAGUGAGUUAAACGAGCCUAAGCCUAAGUCUAUGUCCGAACCAGAGCCACUCGCGGUCGUCGACCUCGAGUUUUACGACCAGAAUGAUCCCGAGUCACACCACCUAGAGGAAGUUACGCCAGAAGGACAACACGAAGAAUCAAGACCUAAGAGAGCGGCAGCUCUCCGAGCCCUUGAGAAGAUCAAGGAAUGGACCAGCAAUUUAGUCGCCGUGCUGCUGCCUGAGGCGGGGUGUGUCGCGACAGGCGCGAAUAUCUAAUGCCACAAUACGAAUUUCCUAGCGGCAACACUGAACAGCGCCCUCGUGGGUGGAACUGUGAUCUCGGUGGUAUACAACUAGCCGCCAUAAGUAAAGCGAAGCAGAUUGAAGCUCCCCUGGCCCAGGAGAAGUGGAUCAGAGAGAGCGAGGACAAAGAAUCCUUCAUAGGAGAUGAAUGUAUGUAUGCUAAGCAUUCUGUUACCCCUACACCCCCACAUUAAUAUAUUAGUGGCCGCCUUUCCCCUUUUACGGUCUUAUUUAUAUACCGUACGUGGUUGGGG
rnacentral:misc_RNA from 1 species